rnacentral:rRNA from 1 species
AGUAUCCGAUGGCUUCGUUUGUCUGAGCGUCGUU